rnacentral:rRNA from 1 species
AAACGUAGGUGACAAGCGUUAUCCGGAAUUACUGGGCGUAAAGGGCGUGUAGGCGGCUGAGCAAGUCUACCGUGAAAGCUCCCGGCUUAACUGGGAGAGGUCAAGGGAUACUACCAGGCUAGAGGGCAGUAGAGGUAAGCGGAAUUCCCGGUGUAGCGGUGAAAUGAGUAGAUAUCGGGAGGAACACCAGUGGCGAAAGCGGCUUACUGGGCUGUGCCUGACGCUGAGGCGCGAGAGCGUGGGGAGCAAACAGGAUUAGAAACCCCUGUAGUCC